GGGUGGUAACUCUGAUCAUACUGAUAAGGCGCAGCAGCUGUCUCAUCUCGAGCAGAAUAAUCAAAAUUAGGGCGAACAUGUCCCUGACCAUUGUAUCCUUGAGAGGAAGGAAAAGGACCAGAAGGAUAUGGUCCUGGUUGAGCAUGUAAAUUAUCCCCACGGCCACUCCUAAUCUGCAAACUAUUAGAAACCAGCCUGUGUGCUGCCUCUCCAAGGUGACGACCAGAGUUUCCGCCAGGGUGGUGGUUCCUUCCAUUUUCCCAAGGUUUCCUCCCAGAAUCCUCAUGCCACAACACUGGAUCAGGUUUUAUAUCACUGAAUGUCACCAUCUUCUUUGGAAAAAUAACCCCUUUAGGUGGCCGUGUGAUGUGCUUAUGGGCAUCAGGGAGUUUGUAUAUUGCACAUAUGACUUGAUUGUCCAUAAUAUCUUCCAACCCAUCCAUAGGAGCUCUAAAAAUUGGAGGACAAGGAUCUCCCAUGCAAAGGGAUAUGUAGCCAUUCAUGCCACCACUCGCUUUUGGGUCCAAGCGCUCCUUCACUUCAACGCGUUCGUCGUCUGUAAGCUGCUUACAGCGAUCAUCAAGAGAAAAAAUGUAUGGAGACAAAGGGUGAGAUAAUGACACAAAAAGCAUAUCAUUCAUCACACAAUUUCUUCGUGCUUCUUCCUCCGUCAGGGUAUGUUCAACUUUUGCAACCUCUGCAAGGAGCCGGGCUUCAUCAAUGAAAGGUAGUUUGGCAAUGCCCUGCCAUGAAAAGCGCUUCCCAUUCAUGUCCACCUCAAAAUCAGAAGGAUAGAAGUCGCUAAUUGGAGAGUUUGGGUCUGUCAUCAAUUGCCUAUACUGUUCAGGAAGAGCAUGUGAACUGGCAGCAGGAAAAACUCCCAACAGCUGAUUGAAUGGUUUGAAUGGAGAACCUAGUUCAAAGGUAAUAUUCAACUCCCCAAGACCCUUGAGGUCAGAAGCAAAAGGAGCAUAAUGAUAAGGAUAAAACCACUGCCAGGAACAAACACCUUCGUAAUAAUAGUGCAUAACCCAGCACAACCCUUCUGUGUAUUUCAAGACAAUGUCCUUUCGUACUUCUUCCAUCUCCUCAGGUGUCUUUGCAGAAAAUUUUUCCUCAUAAUACCUUUCUUUCCAUCCUGGCACUCCCAGUUUGAUCUUGUCUUCCUCGGGAUUCUCUGAAUUAAAAACAUCAUUCUUCUCACGGAUCAACUUGUUUAGCUUUGUUUUCAGUUCUUCUUUGUUUUCUAACACUUCAGUUUCGAGGCUAUCCUCAGCUUCAACAAUUGCAGCUCCUAUCGUGGCAUCAGAACUCAAACGUGCAGCUUUUUUGGUGCGAAAAAUAGAUCUUGUAUCAUCAACAGGCUCAUAGUAUUCAUUCGGAAAGUCGAGGACGGAAAGACUUGAUGUGCCUUGCUGAAGUUGGGGACGUCUUACAGUUCCUCCUUGUUGAGGACGUCUUGCAGUUGCCCCUUGUUGAUAGGGAGAAGGAGAAGGACCUGAAGCAAGCCGAGAACCACUGAACCGAGCAACUGGAACCAAAGAUUCAGGUUCGGCUCGAGGAGCAGAAUCAUCUCCUCUUUUUAACUGGGCCUUUUCACGCUUAAUUCUCUCAGAUUGUCUCUGAUGUAACCGCGCUCUUUUCUGAAAUAUCUUAUCUUCAUAUGAUCCCACGGCCUGAAUGAAAUGUUCUACUCUGCUAAGAUUUGGCUGGCUACCAUCAGUUAAAUAACCUUCCAUUGAUCUAAACUCCUUCUUAUAGACAGCCAGUAACAAGUUUAUUGCUCCCUCGCGGAUCUCAAGAGUAGGCAUGUGUGGGAGAAAAUCAUUUCCAACAAAGAAACAAAUAAAUAUGAAGUCGUCGAUGAUCCGCUCGAAAUCAAUCUCAAAAGGAGGAUUUGGGAUUCUCAUAUCAAAUUCUAAAUACUCCCGCAAAGUCCAUAUGUGGAGGAACUGGAAAGGUUUUUUUGCCACAACCUCAGCAUUGCCUUUCUCAUCGAAUUCUCCUGCUUUCCGUUUCGCCUUUCCUUCACAAUCUGCAGCUAGGUGACCCAUUUGACCACAAAGGAAACACUUAUCCUGCUGACCUGGCGUAAAUACAACCUCUCUGAGUAUGGAGAAGUGAACUUCGUGAGUAGCCAAAGCCAACAUGAUUAGAUCUGCAUCCAAACCGUAGAGACAAUGGCAUGUAUUUGGGUCAUAACCAGGAAGAUUUCUUUGGAGUCGAAGAUAGGACAUAAUUUUAUGCUCCCCUUCACCAGGA
rnacentral:misc_RNA from 1 species